AAUCAAGCGCGAAAAGGGCGUUUGGUGAAUGCCUUGGCAGCAAGAGGCGAUGAAGGACGUGAUACUCUGCGAUAAGCGUUGGUGAGCCGAGAAUAGGCUUUGACCCAGCGAUCUCCGAAUGGGGCAACCCACCUGAUACUCUGUUAUUAUUGCUUCGCAAUAAUACGCACUCCGUGCCGAGCGUAGCUCGGUACACCAAUUCCUUCGGGAAUUGGCACUGGGUGCGUAGCGGCGCAGUUAAUAGCAGGGUUAACCAGGUACUUUUGACCUGAAUAUAUAGGGUUAAAAGAGCAAACCCGGGGAACUGAAACAUCUAAGUACCCGGAGGAAAGGAAAUCAACAGAUACUCCCCUAGUAGCGGCGAGCGAACGGGGACCAGCCGAGCCGUGAGAGUGACCAGAACGACCUGGGAAGGUCGGCCAUAGCGGGUGAUAGCCCCGUAUGGGAAGCUCGAUCGGACGUAUUAAGUAGGGCGGGACACGUGAAAUCCUGUCUGAACAUGGGGGGACCACCCUCUAAGGCUAAGUACUCCUUGCUGACCGAUAGUGAACCAGUACCGUGAGGGAAAGGUGAAAAGCACCCCGACGAGGGGAGUGAAACAGUUCCUGAAACCGAACGCCUACAAUCAGUCGGAGGGCCCUCGAGGCCUGACGGCGUACCUUUUGUAUAAUGGGUCAUCGACUUGGUCUCACAAGCAAGCUUAAGCCGUUAGGUGUAGGCGCAGCGAAAGCGAGUCUUAAUAGGGCGCAUGAGUUUGUGGGAUCAGACCCGAAACCGAGUGAUCUAGGCAUGUCCAGGAUGAAGGUAGGGUAACACCUACUGGAGGUCCGAACCCACACCUGUUGAAAAAGGUCGGGAUGAGGUGUGCCUAGGGGUGAAAGGCCAAUCAAACUCGGAGAUAGCUGGUUCUCCGCGAAAUCUAUUUAGGUAGAGCGUCAUCCGAAUACCCUCGGGGGUAGAGCACUGGAUGGGUAAUGGGGCCCCACAGGCUUACUGAUCCUAACCAAACUCCGAAUACCGAGGAGUACUAGAUGGCAGACACACGGCGGGUGCUAACGUCCGUCGUGGAGAGGGAAACAACCCUGACCUACAGCUAAGGCCCCUAAUUCAUGGCUAAGUGGGAAAGCAUGUGAGACGACCAAAACAACCAGGAGGUUGGCUUAGAAGCAGCCAUCCUUUAAAGAUAGCGUAACAGCUCACUGGUCUAGAUAAGUUGUCUUGCGGCGAAGAUGUAUCGGGGCUCAAGCCAUGAGCCGAAGCUUAGGAUGUAUCGUAAGAUACGUGGUAGCGGAGCGUAGUGUGAAAUAGUCUCGUGUGUCCUUACCGGGCUUGCCCGGAUUGGACACAAGAGGCUUUCGAUGAAGCCGGGGCGUGAGCCAUCCGGUGGAGAGAUCACUAGCGAGAAUGAUGACAUGAGUAGCGACAAACAGGGUGAGAGACCCUGUCGCCGAAAGUCCAAGGGUUCCUGCUUAAAGCUAAUCUGAGCAGGGUAAGCCGACCCCUAAGGCGAGGCCGAAAGGCGUAGUCGAUGGGAACCAGGUUAAUAUUCCUGGGCCAGAUGGAAGUGACGGAUCUCGAGGGUUGUUCGUUCUUAUCGGAUUGAACGGGCCGCUUAGAGGUUCCUGGAAAUAGCUCCAUCGCUAGAUCGUACCCUAAACCGACACAGGUGGACUGGUAGAGAAUACCAAGGCGCUUGAGAGAACGAUGUUGAAGGAACUCGGCAAAAUACCUCCGUAAGUUCGCGAGAAGGAGGCCCGGUUUCCAGGCAACUGGAGGCUGGGGGCACAAACCAGGGGGUGGCGACUGUUUACUAAAAACACAGGGCUCUGCGAAGUCGCAAGACGACGUAUAGGGUCUGACGCCUGCCCGGUGCUGGAAGGUUAAAAGGAGAGGUGCAAGCCUUGAAUUGAAGCCCCAGUAAACGGCGGCCGUAACUAUAACGGUCCUAAGGUAGCGAAAUUCCUUGUCGGGUAAGUUCCGACCUGCACGAAUGGCGUAACGACUUCCCCGCUGUCUCCAACAUCGACUCAGCGAAAUUGAAUUGCCUGUCAAGAUGCAGGCUUCCCGCGGUUAGACGGAAAGACCCCGUGCACCUUUACUACAGCUUCACACUGGCAUCAGGCCAAGCAUGUGCAGGAUAGGUGGUAGGCUUUGAAGCAGUCACGCUAGUGGCUGUGGAGCCAUCCUUGAGAUACCACCCUUGCUUCGCUUGAUGUCUAACCGCGGUCCGUUAUCCGGAUCCGGGACCCUGUGUGGCGGGUAGUUUGACUGGGGCGGUCGCCUCCCAAAGAGUAACGGAGGCGUGCGAAGGUUGGCUCAGAGCGGUCGGAAAUCGCUCGUUGAGUGCAAUGGCAGAAGCCAGCCUGACUGCGAGACUGACAAGUCGAGCAGAGACGAAAGUCGGCCAUAGUGAUCCGGUGGUCCCGAGUGGAAGGGCCAUCGCUCAACGGAUAAAAGGUACGCCGGGGAUAACAGGCUGAUGGUGCCCAAGAGUCCAUAUCGACGGCACCGUUUGGCACCUCGAUGUCGGCUCAUCUCAUCCUGGGGCUGGAGCAGGUCCCAAGGGUACGGCUGUUCGCCGUUUAAAGAGGUACGUGAGCUGGGUUUAGAACGUCGUGAGACAGUUCGGUCCCUAUCUGCCGUGGGUGUAGGAUACUUGAGAGGAGUUGCCCCUAGUACGAGAGGACCGGGGUGAACGAUCCACUGGUGGACCAGUUGUCAUGCCAAUGGCAGUGCUGGGUAGCUAUGAUCGGAAAGGAUAACCGCUGAAGGCAUCUAAGCGGGAAGCCCCCCUCAAAACAAGGUAUCCCUGAGGACCGUGGUAGACCACCACGUCGAUAGGCCGGAGAUGUAAGCGCAGCAAUGCGUUCAGUUGACCGGUACUAAUUGUCCGAUAGGCUUGAUUUG
rnacentral:rRNA from 1 species